rnacentral:rRNA from 1 species
GUUGAACGCUGGCGGCAUGCUUUACACAUGCCAGUCGAACGGUAACAGGCCGCAAGGUGCUGACGAGUGGCGAACGGGUGAGUAAUGCAUCGGAACGUGCCCAGUCCUUGUGGGUAACUACUCGAAUGAGGAGCUAAUACCUCAUACGAUCUAUUGAUGAAAGCGGGGGGCCGUAAGGCCUCGCGCGGUUGUAGCGGCCGAUGUCAGAUUAGUUAGUUGGUGGGGUAAAGGCUCACCAAGCCAACGAUCUGUAGCUGUUCUGAGAGGACAAGCAGCCACACUGGAACUGAGACACGGUCCAGACUCCUACGGGAGGCAGCAGUGGGGAAUUUUGGACAAUGGGCGCAAGCCUGAUCCAGCAAUGCCGCGUGAAGGAAGAAGGCCUUCGGGUUGUAAAAUGCUGUUGUAAGGAAAGAAACGGCUCUGGUUAAUACCCGGGGCUAAUGACGGUACCGUAAGAAUAAGCACCGGCUAACUACGUG